UAAAAUCAUACAAGUAAUGUUAAAACCUGAAUAAAACCUUGGUAAAAUCAUUAAAGUAAUGUUAAAACUUGAUAAAAACAGAAAAGAAAGCACUAUACACUGGAGAACAUUACUGAGACAUUUGUUAGCACUAUAGUAAAGUUACAAGUCUGUUCUGGCACAAAAUUUAUAUGCAACGGUCUUGAUGUAGUCAUGCCUUGAAAUUUCCCCUCUUAGGUACAUGCCAUGUUUCUCCAUAAGAUAGUCAGUUUUCUCUUUCUCCCAUCGUCGAACUGCAGCCGGUGUGUCCAUAGAUCAGAUUUUG
rnacentral:lncRNA from 1 species